rnacentral:rRNA from 1 species
UACGUAGGGCGCAAGCGUUAUCCGGAAUUAUUGGGCGUAAAGAGCUCGUAGGCGGUUUGUCGCGUCUGCCGUGAAAGUCCGGGGCUCAACUCCGGAUCUGCGGUGGGUACGGGCAGACUAGAGUGAUGUAGGGGAGACUGGAAUUCCCGUGGUAGCGGUGAAAUGCGCAGAUAUCAGGAGGAACACCGAUGGCGAAGGCAGGUCUCUGGGCAUUAACUGACGCUGAGGAGCGAAAGCAUGGGGAGCGAACAGG